ACGGUAACAGGAAACAGCUUGCUGUUUCGCUGACGAGUGGCGGACGGGUGAGUAAUGUCUGGGAAACUGCCCGAUGGAGGGGGAUAACUACUGGAAACGGUAGCUAAUACCGCAUAACGUCGCAAGACCAAAGAGGGGGACCUUCGGGCCUCUUGCCAUCGGAUGUGCCCAGAUGGGAUUAGCUAGUAGGUGGGGUAACGGCUCACCUAGGCGACGAUCCCUAGCUGGUCUGAGAGGAUGACCAGCCACACUGGAACUGAGACACGGUCCAGACUCCUACGGGAGGCAGCAGUGGGGAAUAUUGCACAAUGGGCGGAAGCCUGAUGCAGCGACGCCGCGUGGGGGAUGAAGGCCUUCGGGUUGUAAACUCCUUUCGACAGGGACGAAGCGUAAGUGACGGUACCUGUAUAAGAAGCACCGGCUAACUACGUGCCAGCAGCCGCGGUAAUACGUAGGUGGCAAGCGUUAUCCGGAAUUAUUGGGCGUAAAGCGCGCGUAGGCGGUUUUUUAAGUCUGAUGUGAAAGCCCACGGCUCAACCGUGGAGGGUCAUUGGAAACUGGAAAACUUGAGUGCAGAAGAGGAAAGUGGAAUUCCAUGUGUAGCGGUGAAAUGCGCAGAGAUAUGGAGGAACACCAGUGGCGAAGGCGACUUUCUGGUCUGUAACUGACGCUGAUGUGCGAAAGCGUGGGGAUCAAACAGGAUUAGAUACCCUUGUAGUCCACGCCGUAAACGAUGUCGACUUGGA
rnacentral:rRNA from 1 species